AACGAACGCUGGCGGCAGGCUUAACACAUUCAAGUCGAACGCCCCGCAAGGGGAAUGGCAGACGGGUGAGUAACGCGUGGGAACAUACCCUUUCCUGCGGAAUAGCUCUGGGAAACUGGAAUUAAUACCGCAUACGCCCUACGGGGGAAAGAUUUAUCGGGGAAGGAUUGGCCCGCGUUGGAUUAGCUAGUUGGUGGGGUAAAGGCCUACCAAGGCGACGAUCCAUAGCUGGUCUGAGAGGAUGAUCAGCCACAUUGGGACUGAGACACGGCCCAAACUCCUACGGGAGGCAGCAGUGGGGAAUAUUGGACAAUGGGCGCAAGCCUGAUCCAGCCAUGCCGCGUGAGUGAUGAAGGCCUUAGGGUUGUAAAGCUCUUUCACCGAUGAAGAUAAUGACGGUAGUCGGAGAAGAAGCCCCGGCUAACUUCGUGCCAGCCGCCGCCGUAAGAC
rnacentral:rRNA from 1 species